rnacentral:rRNA from 1 species
GACAACCCAAGAGAUUGGGCGGUUCCCCUUCGGGGGACAGGGUGACAGGUGGUGCAUGGUUGUCGUCAGCUCGUGUCGUGAGAUGUUGGGUUAAGUCCCGCAACGAGCGCAACCCUCGCCUCUAGUUGCCAGCAUUCGGUUGGGCACUCUAGAGGGACUGCCGGCGACAAGUCGGAGGAAGUGGGGAUGACGUCAAAUCAUCAUGCCCCUUAUGACCUGGGCUACACACGUGCUACAAUGGGCGGUACAAAGGGCUGCGAACCCGCGAGGGGGAGCGAAUCCCAAAAAGCCGCUCUCAGUUCGGAUUGCAGGCUGCAACUCGCCUGCAUGAAGCCGGAAUCGCUAGUAAUCGCGGAUCAGCAUGCCGCGGUGAAUACGUUCCCGGGCCUU